rnacentral:rRNA from 1 species
GAUGAAUGCUGGCGGCGUGGAUAAGGCAUGCAAGUCGAACGGACUAUCCUUUGAAGAAGUUGCGAUUACAUCAAGGCGACGGAUUUGGAUAGUUAGUGGCGAACGAGUUAGUAACAUCUUGGUACGUACCCUCAAGUCGGGCACAACGGGUCGAAAGAUCCGCUAAUUCCCGAUGGUGCAGUAAUGCUAAAGUCGCAAGACGCUUGAGGAGCGGCCUAGAUCCUANCAGCUUGUUGGCGGGGUAACGGCCCACCAAGGCUAUGACGGGUAGGGGCGGUGGAGAG